CGCGUAGGUGGCCUGAUAAGGGUGUGGUGAAAGUCCGGGGCUCAACCCCGGAUCUGCCGUGCCGACUGUUAGGCUAGAGUACUGUAGGGGCAGGCGGAAUUCCGGGUGUAGCGGUGGAAUGCGUAGAGAUCCGGAGGAAGACCGGUGGCGAAGGCGGCCUGCUGGGCAGUUACUGACACUGAGGCGCGACAGCGUGGGGAGCAAACA
rnacentral:rRNA from 1 species